rnacentral:rRNA from 1 species
GGCUUAACACAUGCAAGUCGAACGAGAAACUAGACUUCGGUUUAGUGGAAAGUGGCAGACGGGUGAGUAACGCGUGGGAAUCUACCUUUGAGUGGGGAAUAACAACUAGAAAUGGUUGCUAAUACCGCAUACACCCUACGGGGGAAAGACUUCGGUCGCUCUUAGAUGAGCCCGCGUACGAUUAGUUUGUUGGUGAGGUAAAGGCUCACCAAGACUACGAUCGUUAGCUGGUUUGAGAGGAUGAUCAGCCACACUGGGACUGAGACACGGCCCAGACUCCUACGGGAGGCAGCAGUGGGGAAUAUUGGACAAUGGGCGCAAGCCUGAUCCAGCCAUGCCGCGUGAGUGAAGAAGGCCUUAGGGUUGUAAAACUCUUUCGGCAGGGAAGAUAAUGACGGUACCUGCAGAAGAAGCUCCGGCUAACUCCGUGCCAGCAGCCGCGGUAAUACGGAGGGGGCAAGCGCUGCUCGGAAUUACUGGGCGUAAAGCGAGCGUAGGCGGUUAAUCAAGUUGGUGGUGAAAGCCCAGAGCUUAACUCUGGAACUGCCAUCAAAACUGAUUGACUAGAGAUUGGUAGAGGAAAAUGGAAUUCCUAG